GAAGGUAUAGCUCAAGCAGUUGAGUGUAUGCUUAGCAUGCAUGAGGUCCUGGGUUCAAUCCCCAGUGCCUCCU
rnacentral:tRNA from 1 species